GUGGGGAAUAUUGGACAAUGGGGGGAACCCUGAUCCAGCCAUGCCGCGUGUGUGAAGAAGGCCUUUUGGUUGUAAAGCACUUUAAGCGAGGAGGAGGCUACCGAGAUUAAUACUCUUGGAUAGUGGACGUUACUCGCAGAAUAAGCACCGGCUAACUCUGUGCCAGCAGCCGCGGUAAUACAGAGGGUGCAAGCGUUAAUCGGAUUUACUGGGCGUAAAGCGCGAGUAGGUGGCCAAUUAAGUCAAAUGUGAAAUCCCCGAGCUUAACUUGGGAAUUGCAUUCGAUACUGGUUGGCUAGAGUAUGGGAGAGGAUGGUAGAAUUCCAGGUGUAGCGGUGAAAUGCGUAGAGAUCUGGAGGAAUACCGAUGGCGAAGGCAGCCAUCUGGCCUAAUACUGACACUGAGGUGCGAAAGCAUGGGGAGCAAACAGGAUUAGAAACCCUAGUAGUCC
rnacentral:rRNA from 1 species